rnacentral:rRNA from 1 species
CCUACGGGCGGCAGCAGUGAGGAAUAUUGGUCAAUGGACGAGAGUCUGAACCAGCCAAGUAGCGUGAAGGAUGACUGCCCUAUGGGUUGUAAACUUCUUUUAUAUGGGAAUAAAAUGUUCCACGUGUGGGUUUUUGUAUGUACCAUAUGAAUAAGGAUCGGCUAACUCCGUGCCAGCAGCCGCGGUAAUACGGAGGAUCCGAGCGUUAUCCGGAUUUAUUGGGUUUAAAGGGAGCGUAGGUGGGUUGUUAAGUCAGUUGUGAAAGUUUGCGGCUCAACCGUAAAAUUGCAGUUGAAACUGGCAGUCUUGAGUACAGGAGAGGUGGGCGGAAUUCGUGGUGUAGCGGUGAAAUGCUUAGAUAUCACGAAGAACUCCGAUUGCGAAGGCAGCUCACUGGACUGCAACUGACACUGAGGCUCGAAAGUGUGGGUAUCAAACAGGAUUAGAUACCCUUGUAGUC